GAUGAACGCUGGCGGCGUGCUUAACACAUGCAAGUCGAGCGAGAAGUUUUGAAAAGAUUCUUCGGAUGAAAUUUAAAAUGGAAAGCGGCGGACGGGUGAGUAACGCGUAGGCAACCUGCCCCAUACAAAGGGAUAGCAUUUGGAAACGAAUAUUAAUACCUUAUGAAACUUAACUAGUGCAUGCUAGGUAGGUCAUAGAUUUAUCGGUAUGGGAUGGGCCUGCGUCUGAUUAGCUAGUUGGUGAGGUAACGGCUCACCAAGGCGACGAUCAGUAGCCGACCUGGGAGGGGAAACGGCCACAUUGGAACUGAGACACGGUCCAAACUCCUACGGGAGGGAGCAGGGGGGAAUAUUGCACAAUGGGGGAAACCCUGAUGCAGCAACGCCGCGUGAACGAUGAAGGCCUUUGGGUCGUAAAGUUCUGUUCUAGGUGAUGAAAACUGACAGAAACCUAGGAGAAAGCCCCGGCUAACUCCGU
rnacentral:rRNA from 1 species